AGAGCCUGAAUAAGGGAGAUGUAAACAUAGAUUUUCAACCCUACCAUGGCCAUCUUUCAACUCUGAAGAAAGCGCACCUGUACAAGUUGGGAGUGGUCCCCUCAGUAAGCCUGGUGGAACACACCCUGCCUGAUGCCCACUCAUACUGGACAAUCUGAGUCCCAAUUUCAAAACUUGGUGUUACCUAGCAUUUUUCAAACCACAGACCCUUGCUAUUUUUUUGUCCAAGUGAUCCCUACUGACAGCUCAGGGAACAAAUUUUUUAAAAUAUGCUUUCUACAUUAAUUUUGGUCUUAAAGGGUAAAAGCUGCUGCUGAAUAUGUAAAAUGUCCUUGGAUGCAAACUUCUAUGAUGGUUUCUCUGGGUUUGGGUUUGAGUGACUGUCUAUUUUCUUCUACACAGUCUUUUGCCUUUUCCCAAUUUUCUGAUUAAUACCAUUAUUUUGGCAGGGUGGGGUAGGGUGGGGACUGUGAAAUUUGAAGCUUUCACUGAAUAUCCAAAAUAUUCUGCAUGACUCAUUUUUCUGAACAAAACUAUACUUUUAUUAUAACAGAAAAUAGAUACAUGAACUCUAUGACCUUUCUGAUAAGCCAUUUUUUAAGAUGAAAAAACACUGAUCCAGCCCAAUUAUAAACAAGAGGAGGCUUUAUAAAAGAGACCCCCAAGGAACCAUUGGCUUUUAUUGUUCUGGUCCCAGGGAAAGGAGGACACACUGAUUCACCCCUAGCUCUCUUUCUUCUCCUUUUGAAGCUAUUUAAGCUCCACUAUGAAUGAGCAUCUGAUCUGGGACAGAAGUUGAGGUAUUUGUUACUCUCUCUAUAGAGGAGAGGGGUGGUAACUCUUCAAAAUGACCUGAAUGGAGACUAGUGGUCUACAGUGAAAAAUCCUAUUUGAAAAUCCUUCAUUCAGGUGCUGUUUAUUCUAACCAAAAUCAGAUCUAAGGAAGUUGUGUUCAUUAGCUCUACUCUGACAAGUACUUGAAUUUCACAGACCUACUAUGACAUGAGGAACCCUAAUCAAUUUGCUAGCAGUUGUUUCAUGCUAUCAGUAUAAACGUUUUCUCCAGCCAAACUAGGUGUUAAACACAAUCACAAUCCCCUCAAGGAACCAAGGUCGGUGCUUCUCAAACUUGAGUGUGUUCAUAAAUCACCUGAGAUCUUAACCAAGGUGUCAACUGAGAGUCAGGUCUGGGUGGGCCUGAGAGUCUGCAUCUCUAACAAGCUCGCAUCUCUAACAAGCUCUCAGAGCAGUCUGAGACCACACUGACUAGCAAGGGUCAGGAAAACCUAUCAGGAUCUUGUAUCAGGAUGACAAGGCAUCUUUGGUAAGAUUUCAGAUAGAGAAGAUUUCUGUUAGCCACACU